GGGAAAAGUAAGACCUCGCCACAAAUGCGGGAUCCGCCCCUAACGGACUGACGUCAACGGACCGACGUCAACGGAGGGACGCAGAGGACGGCGGCGCAUGCGCAGGUCAGGCGGGAGGUAACGGUCCGCUUGUAUCACAAUCAGUGGCCAAAGCUCAGUCACCAUCGCCAGAGUUUGGAAAGACAGCCUUGACAGAAACAGAAAAGGUGACUUCUGGAGCCGUGUCUACUAGGGAAUUAUACCCGGCAGGACCUGUGCAAAUCAGCAAACAGAAGACAAAGAAGGUGAAGUAGAAGCCAACCCUAGAGAACCUCUGGACGCCUUUAUAAUACUGUGGUUCUGGCUUUUCAAAAAUCAUUUUGUGGCAAAAGUUUGCUUUCUGUUUUAUUCCUCUUCGGAAACCUACAGUCAAACAAUGUAUUCAUUUUUCUUCGUGGCUGUUGUUUUUUGAAACGGGAGUCUCUAUUAGUUUGGGCUGGCCUUGAACUUGCUACCUAACUCAGGCUGCUCUCGAACUCACGGCGAUCUUCUUGCCUCAGCCUCCCGCGUGCUGGGAUUGCAGACAUGUGCCACCAUGCCCGGAACCAGACCUAGGAGUGACAUCAGAGGAGGAACAGAAAAGGCUUGAUGGCAGUGAACAUAACCAGCUCAGUUUCUAAAUGACUUCACUGUCUACACUGAGUGAGAGAAUAAGGUCAUAAAAUCAACCCCACUGCCUCUCAAGAGAGUCACACCUUCCAAAAUGAGACCUUUGGUGUUAGGGAACAAACAGUGGCUUUCUAACUUACCUCAUUUUCAGCAGGAAAUUGGUAAAUAUGAAGAUUUUAUCUACUUGUCUGUAGUGGGCAUUAGAAUAUAUUAAAAGUGGACUUAGGGUCAGGGAUUUAGCUCAGUGGUUCCACUGCCUGCCUUGCAAGCGUAAGGACCCAAGUUUGAUCCCCGGUAGCAAAAAAAAACCAAACUGGAUUUAAGGCAAAUAGUCCAUUCACAUGCCUUGUGCCAUCCUAGUGUACAGUUCAAAUUAAAAUUUGGUAAUUUGUUUUUCUUUAUGAUUGAUGUUCAUUGAUUUUUGGCUCUGAAUAAAGUUUGCCAAUUCUGAAUAAUUAAAGUUGGCCCAUUCUAUUGAUCUUUAGAAAAAAAAUUUCAGUGUACUCAAAGAUCCUAUUAUUUAAGGUAUAAUGUAGUAAAAAGAUUUUCUGUCUGAAGAAGCCCUUGUGUUAUUAAAAAAAAUCUAAUUCAUUUCUGGAAACUUUAACACAUUUGAAUUCAACUUACUCCAAAUAAACAG
rnacentral:lncRNA from 1 species